AAAGUACUCCCUCUGUCCCAAAAUUCUUGUCUUAGAUUUGUCUAGAUACAGAUGUAUCAAGUCACAUUUUAGUAUUAGAUACAUCCAUAUCUAGACAAAUCUAAGACAAGAAAUUUGGGACAGAGGGAGUAGUUG
rnacentral:pre_miRNA from 1 species